AACGAACGCUGGCGGCAUGCCUAACACAUGCAAGUCGAACGCAUCCUUCGGGGUGAGUGGCAGACGGGUGAGUAACGCGUGGGAACGUGCCCUUCAGUUCGGAAUAACCCAGGGAAACUUGGGCUAAUACCGGAUACGUGCGAGAGCAGAAAGAUUUAUCGCUGAAGGAUCGGCCCGCGUCUGAUUAGCUAGUUGGUGAGGUAAUGGCUCACCAAGGCGACGAUCAGUAGCUGGUCUGAGAGGAUGAUCAGCCACACUGGGACUGAGACACGGCUCAGACUCCUACGGGAGGCAGCAGUGGGGAAUAUUGGACAAUGGGCGCAAGCCUGAUCCAGCCAUGCCGCGUGAGUGAUGAAGGCCUUAGGGUUGUAAAGCUCUUUCGCACGCGACGAUAAUGACGGUAUCCGGAGAAGAAGCCCCGGCUAACUUCGUGCCAGCCGCCGCGGUAAAAC
rnacentral:rRNA from 1 species